rnacentral:piRNA from 1 species
CUUGAAGGCACACUUUAUAGAAUGCACUGG